UAGGGAAUCUUGCGCAAUGGGCGAAAGCCUGACGCAGCGACGCCGCGUGUGGGAAGAAGGCCUUCGGGUUGUAAACCACUUUCAGGAGGGAAGAAGCGAAAGUGACGGUACCUCCAGAAGAAGCCCCGGCCAACUACGUGCCAGCAGCCGCGGUAAUACGUAGGGGGCGAGCGUUGUCCGGAAUUAUUGGGCGUAAAGGGCUCGUAGGCGGUCUCUUCAGUCGGGUGUGAAAUCUCAGGGCUCAACCCUGAAAUCGCACCCGAUACUGGGAGACUUGAGGCAGGUAGGGGAGAUUGGAAUUCCUGGUGUAGCGGUGAAAUGCGCAGAUAUCAGGAGGAACACCGGUGGCGAAGGCGGAUCUCUGGGCCUGUUCUGACGCUGAGGAGCGAAAGCGUGGGGAGCAAACAGGAUUAGAUACCCCCGUAGUCC
rnacentral:rRNA from 1 species